GUACUUUCUCUGCCUGGGAGAGGCAGGCUGUGGAAGGGUGCCAUGCCUCAUAUCAAGGGCAAAAGUAGCAUCAAUGGUUUCCUUACAGUCCUCAGGAAAACCAAACCAGGAGACAGAAGAAUUGUCCUAGACCUGAGCAGGUGCUCUUCAGUAGAGUGAGGCUUUGCUGUAGGUACAGGCAAAGUAAGCAGGUCCUUGAGGUAGCAAAUGGUCUCUGGAGAAACUGUGAUUCUGCUGUUUUAUUCUGCCUGUGCUGCUGUCUGACUCUGCCCCAUGUCCUGGGGGUCAGGCUUGAACUGGGGAGAUUAUACUUCCUAAACUGCUGAAGACCAACUCUUCACAACUGAUCACAAUCUCAACUUACAGGACUCAAAGUCAGCAACUCUUCCAUAUUCCCAUACCUGCCAACUCAACUGUGGAUGAUUUGGAGGCAGUGUGAACUCAUUUCAUUUUGAGUAGAAAUCAUCAAUACUACUGAGGACCUUAGUCGGAAAUAGCCAGACAAGACUGUAGUAUCCAGACAAAAGUAUAUGUGAGUUCCAGCACUGCUGCAGGAAGGAUGACUCAAGGAGGGGUAUCGGGGUUUCUUUGAGUGAUGGGUGGUGAUUAUUGUCAUGUUCCGUCCU